AAGUCGAGCGAACGGACGAGAAGCUUGCUUCUCUGAUGUUAGCGGCGGACGGGUGAGUAACACGUGGAUAACCUACCUAUAAGACCGGGAUAACUUCGGGAAACCGGAGCUAAUACCGGAUAAUAUUUUGAACCGCAUGGUUCAAAAGUGAAAGACGGUCUUGCUGUCACUUAUAGAUGGAUCCGCGCUGCAUUAGCUAGUUGGUAAGGUAACGGCUUAGCCAAGGCAACGAUGCAUAGCCGACCUGAGAGGGUGAUCGGCCACACUGGAACUGAGACACGGUCCAGACUCCUACGGGAGGCAGCAGUAGGGAAUCUUCCGCAAUGGGCGAAAGCCUGACGGAGCAACGCCGCGUGAGUGAUGAAGGUCUUCGGAUCGUAAAACUCUGUUAUUAGGGAAGAACAUAUGUGUAAGUAACUGUGCACAUCUUGACGGUACCUAAUCAGAAAGCCACGGCUAACUACGUGCCAGCAGCCGCGGUAAUACGUAGGUGGCAAGCGUUAUCCGGAAUUAUUGGGCGUAAAGCGCGCGUAGGCGGUUUUUUAAGUCUGAUGUGAAAGCCCACGGCUCAACCGUGGAGGGUCAUUGGAAACUGGAAAACUUGAGUGCAGAAGAGGAAAGUGGAAUUCCAUGUGUAGCGGUGAAAUGCGCAGAGAUAUGGAGGAACACCAGUGGCGAAGGCGACUUUCUGGUCUGUA
rnacentral:rRNA from 1 species